rnacentral:rRNA from 1 species
UACGUAGGGUGCGAGCGUUAAUCGGAAUUACUGGGCGUAAAGCGUGCGCAGGCGGUGAUGUAAGACCGAUGUGAAAUCCCCGGGCUUAACCUGGGAACUGCAUUGGUGACUGCAUUGCUGGAGUAUGGCAGAGGGGGGUGGAAUUCCACGUGUAGCAGUGAAAUGCGUAGAGAUGUGGAGGAACACCGAUGGCGAAGGCAGCCCCCUGGGCCAAUACUGACGCUCAUGCACGAAAGCGUGGGGAGCAACCAGG